rnacentral:rRNA from 1 species
GACGAACGCUGGCGGCGUGCUUAACACAUGCAAGUCGAACGGAAAGGCCCCCACUUUUUUGGUGGGGGUGCUCGAGUGGCGAACUGGUUAGUAACACGUUGGUGAUCUGCCCUGUACUUCGGGAUAAGCUUGGGAAACUGGGUCUAAUACCGGAUAGGACCAUGGUUUAGUGUCUCAUGGUGGACAAAUUAUUGUUUUUUUGCAGGAUGAGCUCGCGGCCUAUCAGCUUGUUGGUGGGGUAAUGGCCUACCAAGGCGUCGACGGGUAGCCUGCCGGAGUGGGUGGAAGGCCAGAUUGGAACUGAGGUACGGCCCAGACUGGUACGGAGGGGAGGGGUAGGGUAGAUUGCAGAAGGGGGGCAAGCCUGAUGAAGCGACGCCGGGGGGGGGAUGACGGCGUUCGGGUUGUAAACUUCUUUCGUAAGGAACGAAGCCGCACAUUAUUUGGGUGUGGUGACGGUACCUAUGGUAAGAAGCACCGGCUAAUUACGG